rnacentral:rRNA from 1 species
GUGUCAGCAGCCGCGGUAAUACAGAGGGUGCAAGCGUUGUUCGGAAUCACUGGGCGUAAAGGGCGCGUAGGCGGCUUUACAAGUCUGGCGUGAAAGCCCGGGGCUCAACCCCGGAAGUGCGUUGGAAACUGUAGAGCUUGAGUUCGGUAGAGGAGGGCAGAAUUCCCGGUGUAGGGGUGAAAUCCGUAGAUAUCGGGAGGAAAACCAGUGGCGAAAGCGGCCCUCUGGAACGAAACUGACGCUGAGGCGCGAAAGCGUGGGGAGCAAACAGGAUUAGAAACCCGUGUAGUCC